rfam:Paenibacillus sp. Soil522 contig_14, whole genome shotgun sequence.
ACAACGGCCCUUCACCCGAACUCGCAUGCGGUGAAGGGCCAUUUAUUUAAAAUAUAAGAAAGUAU